rnacentral:rRNA from 1 species
AGUUAACGCUGGCGGCGUGCCUAACACAUGCAAGUCGAGCGAGCUUGUAGCAAUACAAGUUAGCAGCAAACGGUGAGUAACACAUGGGAAACCUCCCUCAGAAUGGGAACAUCUCCGAGAAAUCGGAGCUAAUACCGCAUAAGACCACAGUCUGGCAUCAGACAGGGGUAAAAAGCAGCAAUGCGUUUUGAGAUGGUCCUGUGUCCUAUCAGCUAGUUGGUGAGGUAACGGCUCACCAAGGCUAAGACGGGUAAUCCGGCCUGAAAGGGUGAACGGACACACUGGAACUGAGACACGGUCCAGACUCUACGGAGGCAGCAGUGGGGAAUUUUGGACAAUGGGGGAAACCCGUACGAUCCA